GACGAACGCUGGCGGCGUGCUUAACACAUGCAAGUCGAGCGGUAAGGCCCUUUCGGGGGUACGACGAGCGGCGAACGGGUGAGUAACACGUGGGUGACCUGCCCUUAGCUCUGGGAUAAGCCUGGGAAACUGGGUCUAAUACCGGAUAUGACUCCAUGACGCAUGUUGUGGGGUGGAAAGCCUUGUGCGGCUAGGGAUGGGCCUGCGGCCUAUCAGCUUGUUGGUGGGGUGAUGGCCUACCAAGGCGACGACGGGUAGCCGGCCUGAGAGGGCGACCGGCCACACUGGGACUGAGACACGGCCCAGACUCCUACGGGAGGCAGCAGUGGGGAAUCUUGCGCAAUGGGCGAAAGCCUGACGCAGCGACGCCGCGUGGGGAUGA
rnacentral:rRNA from 1 species